rnacentral:misc_RNA from 1 species
GAUGAAGAACGUAGCGAAAUGCGAUAAGUAAUGUGAAUUGCAGAAUUCAGUGAAUCAUCGAAUCUUUGAACGCACAUUGCGCCCGCCAGUAUUCUGGCGGGCAUGCCUGUUCGAGCGUCAUUUCAACCAUCAAGCCCCCGGCUUGUGUUGGGGACCUGCGGCUGCCGCAGGCCCUGAAAACCAGUGGCGGGCUCGCUGUCACACCGAGCGUAGUAGAUUUUCAUCUCGCUCAGGGCGUGCUGCGGGUUCCGGCCGUAAAAAGCCUUAUUUACCCAAGGUUGACCGCGGAUCAGGUAGGAAGACCCGCUGAACUUAAGCAUAUCAAUAAGCGGAGGA